rnacentral:rRNA from 1 species
UAGGGAAUCUUCCACAAUGGGCGCAAGCCUGAUGGAGCAACACCGCGUGAGUGAAGAAGGGUUUCGGCUCGUAAAGCUCUGUUGUUAAAGAAGAACACGUAUGAGAGUAACUGUUCAUACGUUGACGGUAUUUAAUCAGAAAGUCACGGCUAACUACGUGCCAG